rnacentral:rRNA from 1 species
AGAGUUCGAUCCUGGCUUAGGAUGAACGCUGGCGGCAUGCUUAACACAUGCAAGUCGGACGGAAAGUGGUGUUUUUAGGGGUUGAUGGGUGAGUAACGCAUAAGAACCUGCCCUUGGGAGGGGAACAACAGCUGGAAAUGGCUGCUAAUACCCUGUAGGCUGAAGAGCAAAAGGAGGAAUUUGCCCGAGGAGGGGCUUGCAUCUGAUUAGCUAGUUGGUGAGGCUACCAAGGCGAUGAUUAGUAGUCGGUUCGACAGGAUGAUCAGCCACACUAGGACUGUGACACGACCCAGACUUCUAUAGGAGGCAGCAGUGGGGAAUUUUUCACAAUGGCAAAAGCCUGACGGAGCAAUUCCGCGUGGGGGUAGAAGGCCCACAGGUCGUGAACUUCUUUUCUCGAAGAAGAAGCAAUGACGAUAUCUAGGGAAUAAGCGUCGGUUAACUCUGUGCCAUUAGUUGCGAUAAGACAGACGAUGCAAGCGUUAUCCGGAAUGAUUGGGUGUAAAGCGUCUAUAGGUGGUUUUUUAAGUUUGCCGUCAAAUCCCAAGGCUCAACCCUGGACAGGCGGUGGAAACUACCAAGCUGGAGUACGGUAGGGGUAAAGGGAAUUUUCGGUGGAGCGGUGAAAUACAUAGAGAUUGGAAAGAACACCAACGGUGAAAGCACUCUGCUGGGUCGACACAGACACUGAGAGACGAAAGCUAGGGGAGCGAAUGGGAUUAGAUACCCUAGUAGUCCUAGCCGUAAAUGAUGGAUACUAAAUGCUGUGCGUAUCGACCCAUGCAGUGCUAUAGCUAAUGCAUUAAGUAUCCCACCUGGGGAGUAUGUUUGCAAGAAUGAAACUCAGAGGAAUUGAUGGGGGCUCGCACAAGCGGUGGAGCAUGUGGUUUAAUUCGAUGCAAAGUGAAGAACCUUACCAAGGCUUGACAUGCCUCGAAUCCUCUCGAAAGAGAGGGGUGCCUUCGGGAACGCGAACACAAGUGGUGCAUGGUUGUUGUCAGCUCGUGCCGUAAGGUGUUAGGUUAAGUCCAGCAAUCAGUGCAACCCUCGUGUUUAGUUGCCAUCGUUGAAUUUGAAACCAUGAACACACUGCCGAUGAUAAGCCAGAAGAAGGUGAGGAUGACGUCAAGUCAUUAUGCCUUUUAUGCUCUGGUCGACACACGUGCUACAAUGGCCAGGACAAAGGGUCGCGAUCCCGCGAAGGUGAGCUAACCCCAAAACCCAUCCUCAGUUUGGAUUGCAGGCUGCAACUCGCCUACAUGAAGUUGGAAUCGCUAGUAAUCGCCGGUCAGUCAUACGGCGGUGAAUUCAUUCCCGGGCUUUAUACAUACCGCCCGUCACACUAUAGGAGCGCCAGUCACAUUAGAGGAGCUGGCCAUGCCUGAAGUCGUUACCUUAACCGCAAGGAGGGGGAUGCCGAAGGCAAGGCUAGUGAUUGGAGUGAAGUCGUAACAAGGUAGCCGUACUAGAAGGUGUGGCUG